rnacentral:rRNA from 1 species
ACGAACGCUGGCGGCGUGCUUAACACAUGCAAGUCGAACGGAAAGGCCCUGCUUGCAGGGUGCUCGAGUGGCGAACGGGUGCGUAACACGUGGGUGAUCUGCCCCUUACUUUGGGAUAAGCCUGGGAAACUGGGUCUAAUACUGGAUAGGACCAUGCUGUAGGUGGUGUGGUGGAAAGAUUAGUUUCGGUAAGGGAUGAGCUCGCGGCCUAUCAGCUUGUUGGUGGGGUAAUGGCCUACCAAGGCGUCGACGGGUAGCCGGCCUGAGAGGGUGGACGGCCACAUUGGGACUGAGAUACGGCCCAGACUCCUACGGGAGGCAGCAGUGGGGAAUAUUGCACAGUGGGCGCAAGCCUGAUGCAGCGACGCCGCGUGGGGGAUGACGGCCUUCGGGUUGUAAACUCCUUUCAGCCAUGACGAAGCCCUUGUGGUGACGGUAGUGGUAGAAGAAGCACCGGCUAACUACGUG